UCUCUGGUGGUCCAGUGGUUAAGACGCUGCGCUUCUAAUGCAGGGGGCCCGGGGUUUGAUCCCUAGUCAGGAAA
rnacentral:tRNA from 1 species